AUUGAACGCUGGCGGCAUGCCUUACACAUGCAAGUCGAACGGUAACGCGGGGCAACCUGGCGACGAGUGGCGAACGGGUGAGUAAUAUAUCGGAACGUGCCCAGUUGUGGGGGAUAGCCCGGCGAAAGCCGGAUUAAUACCGCAUACGACCUGAGGGUGAAAGCGGGGGAUCUUCGGACCUCGCGCAAUUGGAUCGGCCGAUAUCAGAUUAGGUAGUUGGUGGGGUAAAGGCUCACCAAGCCAACGAUCUGUAGCUGGUCUGAGAGGACGACCAGCCACACUGGGACUGAGACACGGCCCAGACUCCUACGGGAGGCAGCAGUGGGGAAUUUUGGACAAUGGGCGCAAGCCUGAUCCAGCUAUGCCGCGUGCAGGAAGAAGGCCUUCGGGUUGUAAACUGCUUUUGUCUAGAGAAGAAAUCUUCUGGGUUAAUAACUCGGGAGGAUGACGGUAUCUGAAGAAUAAGCACCGGCUAACUACGUGCCAGCAGCCGCGGUAAUCUCG
rnacentral:rRNA from 1 species